UAUAAACUAUCACGGUGCGCUAAAAGCCGUGGCUUGGAGGGUUGCCAACUGGCGGGAAAACUCGGGCUUCCUACGUAGCUGCUUCUCUAUUACGUCUGUCAGUGUGUACGUAUGUGAGGAGAUGGAAGACUGAGAGCCAGGCUGCAAUGGCUCCUUCUUAAUGUGGCCUUUAUGGCAUUUAAGCGAGAUGCCUCCUAUGUGUGCCUUCUGGUAGCGGCGGCGGCUUCUCCUCAUCUCCUGCCUGUGGUGUUAGUGCGUUUGUGUAUGCCUGCGUCUUCUCAGUGUUUUUGUGUGUGGGGGCGCCGGUGCGCACUGGCCGUGGCUCAGUAUGUGUGUAGCACGCCGUGCGAGCUCUAACAUAUAUGAGGUAGUGAUGAUGAGGUGUGAAGACUGCUAUGUUAGUGUGCCGAUACUGUUGGUGGUUGGUGGCUAUGCUUGCUUUACUUUCUAUAUUGCCUGACCU
rnacentral:misc_RNA from 1 species